CCUACGGGUGGCAGCAGUGGGGAAUAUUGCACAAUGGGGGAAACCCUGAUGCAGCGACGCCGCGGGAGUGAAGAAGUAAGUCGUUAUGUAAAGCUCUAUCAGCAGGGAAGAAAAUGACGGUACCUGAGUAAGCAGCCCCGGCUAACUACGUGCCAGCAGCCGCGGUCAUACGUAGGGGGCAAGCGUUAUCCGGAUUGACUGGGUGGUAAGGGAGCGUAGACGGAAGUGCAAGUCUGGAGUGAAAGGCGGGGGCUCAACCCCCGGACUGCUCUGGAAACUGUACGGCUGGAGUGCAGGAGAGGUAAGUGGAAUUCCUGGUGGAGCGGUGAAAUGCGUAGAUAUUAGGAAGAACACCAGUGGCGAAGGCGGCAUACUGGACUGUAACUGACGUUGAGGCUCGAAAGCGUGGGGAGCAAACAGGAUUAGAUACCCCAGUAGUC
rnacentral:rRNA from 1 species